rnacentral:rRNA from 1 species
UAUAGUGGCGGAGCUAGGUCGUGCUCUAAGCGUAGUAACCAAAUUCUCGCUUCUGAAGCCGGCCCGGGUCCUGCCGUAAAACCCCCUAUAUUUUUCUGGUUGACCUCGGAUCAGGUAGGAAUACCCGCUGAACUUAAGCAUAUCAAUAAGCGGAGGAAAAGAAACCAACAGGGAUUGCCCUAGUAACGGCGAGUGAAGCGGCAACAGCUCAAAUUUGAAAUCUGGCCUUCGGGUCCGAGUUGUAAUUUGCAGAGGAUGCUUUUGGCGCGGUGCCUUCCGAGUUCCCUGGAACGGGACGCCUUAGAGGGUGAGAGCCCCGUACGGUUGGACACCAAGCCUCUGUAAAGCUCCUUCGACGAGUCGAGUAGUUUGGGAAUGCUGCUCUAAAUGGGAGGUAAAUUUCUUCUAAAGCUAAAUACCGGCCAGAGACCGAUAGCGCACAAGUAGAGUGAUCGAAAGAUGAAAAGCACUUUGAAAAGAGGGUUAAAUAGCACGUGAAAUUGUUGAAAGGGAAGCGUUUACGGCCAGACCUUUUCCUGGCGGAUCAUCUGGUGUUCUCACCAGUGCACUUCGCCAGGUUUAGGCCAGCAUCGGCUUCUGUAGGGGGAUAAAAGCAGUGGGAAAGUAGCUCCCUCGGGAGUGUUAUAGCCCUAAGCAUAAUACC